rnacentral:misc_RNA from 1 species
GAUGAAGAACGUAGCGAAAUGCGAUAAGUAAUGCGAAUUGCAGAAUUCAGUGAAUCAUCGAAUCUUUGAACGCACAUUGCGCCCGCCAGUAUUCUGGCGGGCAUGCCUGUUCGAGCGUCAUUUCAACCAUCAAGCCCUGCUUGCGUUGGGGUCCUGCGGCUGCCCGCAGGCCCUGAAAACCAGUGGCGGGCUCGCUAGUCACACCGAGCGCAGUAAUACAUCUCGCUUUGGGCGUGCGGCGGGUUCUUGCCGUUAAACACCCCCUUUUUACCAAGGUUGACCUCGGAUCAGGUAGGAAUACCCGCUGAACUUAAGCAUAUCAAUAAGCGGAGGA